rnacentral:rRNA from 1 species
GACGAACGCUGGCGGCGUGCCUAAUACAUGCAAGUCGAGCGAAGUUUUUCUGGUGCUUGCACCGGAAAAACUUAGCGGCGAACGGGUGAGUAACACGUAAAGAACCUGCCUUAUAGACUGGGACAACUAUUGGAAACGAUAGCUAAUACCGGAUAACAGCAUUAACUGCAUGGUUGAUGUUUGAAAGUUGGUUUUGCUAACACUAUGAGAUGGCUUUGCGGUGCAUUAGCUAGUUGGUGGGGUAAAGGCCUACCAAGGCGACGAUGCAUAGCCGACCUGAGAGGGUGAUCGGCCACACUGGGACUGAGACACGGCCCAGGCUCCUACGGGAGGCAGCAGUAGGGAAUCUUCCGCAAUGGGCGAAAGCCUGACGGAGCAACGCCGCGUGAGUGAAGAAGGAUUUCGGUUCGUAAAGCUCUGUUGUUAGGGAAGAAUGAUUGUGUAGUAACUAUACACAGUAGAGACGGUACCUAACCAGAAAGCCACGGCUAACUACGUG